AUCCAGAAAGGCCUGUCUGUUCAGAUUUUUCUUGGCCUGUGUAGCAUUUUUUCCUCCUGGGGAUGGGGCAGGACCCCUCUGAAAUGAGGGUCUCCAAGGAAGAAGGGAGAAGGAAAAGGGAGUGGCCUUUCUAGGUUUUAUGGCUUGCUUUGGGGGAAAGGGAUUCUAGUUUCUAUGACCCACCUUGGGGAAGAGGAAUUCUGGUUUCUGUGAAUCACCUCAGAGGAGAAAGACUGGUGGAAAACCGAAGGAUGGGAGAGGUCAGAGAGCCCCGCCUUCUGAGACCUUCCAGUCUCCUUCAGUUUAAAUUACUCAGCAUGUCAAAGUGUUCAGAGCCCAACACCAGGUUAUUGGGCCUUAUGUUCCAAGUAGAGAACUGCAUGGUGUAGACAAGAGGUGGUAUUGAAGGACUGGGUGGCAGAGCAGGGACAAGGUCAAUGGCAUUUCGGAGUUACUCAUCUGGUACCAGUGUGGAGCCUGGAUUCCAGAAGAUCUGCCUGUCUUCUGCAAAGGCCAAACAGGCCAAGUGAGGACACCUUGAGAUGGUGGACCCCCGCCAGCUGGGAAGAGGACCCUCACCUGACCAUGCUGAUGCUCUGAUUGCAGACUUCCAACCUCCAGAACUGUGAGAAAAUAAAUAUUUGUUGCUUAAACCACACACAAAAU
rnacentral:lncRNA from 1 species